rnacentral:tRNA from 1 species
UCCCUAUAGCUCAGAUGGUAAAGAAUCUGCCUGCAAUGCAGGAGACCUGGGUUUGAUUCCUGGGUGGGGAA